rnacentral:rRNA from 1 species
UUAAUAAGCGGAGGAAAAGAAACUAACAAGGAUUCCCUCAGUAACGGCGAGUGAAGCGGGAAGAGCUCAAAUUUGAAAUCUCCGAUGCCCGCAUCGGCGAGUUGUAGUUGCGAGAAGCACUUUCUAGGCGGACGGGCCGCGCCUAAGUUGCUUGGAACGGCACGUCGCAGAGGGUGACAACCCCGUCUGUGGCGCGGCCGGCCGCCGACGAUGUGCUUUCCAAGAGUCGGGUUGUUUGGGAAUGCAGCCCAAAAGGGGUGGUAAACUCCAUCUAAAGCUAAAUACCGGCGUGAGACCGAUAGCGA